AUCCUUUUGUGGUUCAUAAGUGAUGAUUGGAUUUUCACACUCAUAUAUGAGAUGUGUCUCCCUUAAACCUUGUUACAACUUCAGCACAUUACCUGUUUGACA
ensembl:snoRNA